rnacentral:pre_miRNA from 1 species
UACUCAUUGACUGUUAAUGGAAAAUGUUGACUGCCAAAUGUCAUAAUCCUAUUGGAUGUUAAAAUUGUAUACGAAAAUUCACGUCCAAUAUGAUUAUGACAUAUGACAGUUAACGUUACCCAUUAACAGUCAACGUCCAAUAAAAUUGUGACACAUAACAGUCAACAUUAUUCAAUAACAAUUAAUGUUC